rfam:Burkholderia sp. A9 Contig20, whole genome shotgun sequence.
AUCAAUGGGUGGGCCUGGGCGGGGAGACCUUCGGGUCUGCCGGUAUCCACAGACGCCGGUUCGCCAACCCCGUUCAGUGCCCGCCCACCCCA